CUCCCAUUUCCGGAAGCCUGGCGCAAGGUUGGUCUGCAGGUGGCCUCCAGGUGCAAAGUGGGAAGUGUGAGUCCUCAGUCUUGGGCUAUUCGGCCACGUGCCUGCCGGACAUGGGACGCUGGAGGGUCAGCAGCGUGGAGUCCUGGCCUUUUGCGUCCACGGGUGGGAAAUUGGCCAUUGCCACGGCGGGAACUGGGACUCAGGCUGCCCCCCGGCCGUUUCUCAUCCGUCCACCGGACUCGUGGGCGCUCGCACUGGCGCUGAUGUAGUUUCCUGACCUCUGACCCGUAUUGUCUCCAGAUUAAAGGUACGACAUUUGGAGGCCCCAGCGAGAAACGUCACCGGGAGAAACGUCACCGGGCGAGAGCCGGGCCCGCUGUGUGCUCCCCCGGAAGGACAGCCAGCUUGUAGGGGGGAGUGCCACCUGAAAAAAAAAUUUCCAGGUCCCCAAAGGGUGACCGUCUUCCGGAGGACAGCGGAUCGACUACCAUGUGGGUGCCCACAAAAAUUCCACCUCUGAGUCCUCAACUGCUGACCCCGGGGUCAGGUCCAGAUUUUGAACAAAUCUCGCUAGAGAUUGAACAGAGCUGCGCCUGGAUCCCGCCACAGUGAGGAGACCUGAAGACCAGAGAAAACACAGCAAGCCCCUGGAUCCUCCUGGAAUCCCCGAUCCCUCUUGCUCCCUGGCAGAGUUUUCUAGUCCCUCUUACUUGAAGCAUGUCUUUCAGAGCCCGGCACCACCCAUCUUGAGUAUCUGGUGGAUUUUCACAUCUCAAGCCAGCUAAGAGUAUGGGAAAUAGGACUCGUUAAAGCACAGAUAUCACACAAGUGAUUCAGAUUCACGAGGGUAAUCCAGAUGAAGGUAUAUCAUUGUACCUGGCCCGCAUCACUCAGUAACUGUCACCUUUGAUUUAUUGAUUUACUUGAGAUGGAGUUUGGUUCUGUCCCCGAGGCCGGAGUGCAAUGGCGUGAUCUCUGCUCACUACAACCUCUGCCUCCCAGGUUCAGAGUGAUUCUCCUGCCUCAGCCUCUUUAGCUGGGAUUACAGGCACCCACCAACAUGCCCAGCUAAUUUUUGUAUUUUUAGUAGAGAGGAGCUUUCACCAUAAUGGCCAGGCUGGUCUUGAACCUCAAAUGAUCUGCCCACCUUGGCCUCCCAAAGUGCUAGGAUUACAGGCUGGAGCUACAGAGCCCAGCCUGUCACCUUGAUUUAAAUGAAUGCAGCUUUCUUGGUGUCUUGAUGUUUGUGAAUUUCUGUGGAGUUUGAUACUGCUCCUUUUGCUGCUUGUUUUUCCAGAGUCCCCUUAUCACUUGACGUGCUGUUAUAUUAUGUUUGAUUUAUUACAGAUACCCCAUCAGCCUGAGUCUCUUAAAGGCCUUUAUACACAUAUGUCUACACAUAGGGAUUUGGAUGAUCUCGGGAUCCCACAUCCUCGCUGUCCCCUGUCCCCCCGCAACAUCCCCCACCAAUACCUUUCUGAAGUUUUCUAGUCCCUCCUUUUUGUUUGUGCUCCUUAAAGCCCAGCCCCAUGCCUGACUUUGGUUCCCAGUGAGCAUUGUACAUUUGUGGAUAUUAAAUCUUUGGCAAAGUCAUUUACCUGGG
rnacentral:lncRNA from 1 species